AUUUACACUCACAGACACAUUUUGACUUUACAAUAUCACAAUAAGACACAUUCCACUUGCAACACACAUUCUACUUGUGUAAUGUCCAUGAUACCCUCUUAACCAGCACCUCAUUCUCGCUAUCUUUUUACUUUUUUGUGCUUUAGUUUUUUUUUUUUUUUUUAAUUUGCUGAUUUAAAGAAAACAAAGAAAGUCACUUUCCCAAAUUCCCAAUUCACGAACCCUAAUCUUAUUUGUUAGAUUUUCUAUGGUUGCAAUUCAUUGUCAUUUUCUCACCCUAAUCCAUUUCAGUCCCUCACUCCGUAAAUCAUUCGCGAAUCAAAAUCAUUUUCUUCUCCACAUUUAUCUGUUUCGUAGCGGUAGUCUCUGAGCCACCGGCCCACCGUCGAACAAAGCCCCCACACCUGCUCCCGUGAGCAACAGAUUUCUAAAUGCAAGAUAUUGUGGAUGUGCUGGAGCUAUCACAGCACCAAGAUGUCUCGUGAAACUACACAAAGAAGAAAGUUUUGAAUGGAAGAUUUUAAUGAGAGCAAGAAAGAGUAAAGAUAAGUUUACGCCGUGGAAGAAGUUAGAUGGUAACGAGUUCGGUAUACAAAACUCCAUGAAUCUACACGUAUGGUUCCCAAUAAGCUCAGGAAAAGAGGUACCUCUUAGUUUUUCCCAGGCUUUGACUUAGGCUUCUGGUUAGCUUAUAUAGUGUGUCUAAACAAUUUUUAUUAGUGUACGUUAGAAAGCUUAUGUUUUUGUAAUUGUUAGUCGAAUAUGGACCUGGCAAAUCUCUUUAGAUUGCUUUAUCCAGUUUUUUUCUGUUUGAUGGAGAAAGAAAUAUGAUAUCCAUGUCCAUAGUUUUUGUGUCCAUGUCCAUAAUUAUAUUAUAACUAUAUUAUCCACAAUAAGGUAUCAAUAUGGUAUGCAUAAAGUACUUGUCCACAGAUACUAAAAAAUUAUGUAAGAUGAUUAAGAAUAUAAAAACUUGUCCAAGAAAACACAUCAAUGAAACUUAGUUCAUGAAACCUCAUCCACGAAAAUUUUAAAGAGAUUUUCUAUAUUUUUUAUCCAUCCAUGUCCACAUCUUUUUAUGUUCACGUAUUUUUCUUACAUGUUCACAAUUUUGCAUCCACACUUCUUAUGUCUAUACAUUUUUUUAUAUAAUUGUUGAAAUAUAUAAAAUAUAUAUAUGAAAAUGGAUGUUAAAAUAUAGAGAAAAACAAAUUACAAUUUAUUGUAAUAAUUAUACUUUCUUCAAAUGUCUUAAACUCUGAGAAAAAAACAAAUAAAAACAUAAGAACUUUGCAAAAAGAACAAAGAAAAAGUUGAGAAAAAAUAAAUAAAAUAAAAAAAU